CUACGGGUGGCUCCAGUGGGGAAUAUUGGGCAAUGGGCGCAAGCCUGACCCAGCAACGCCGCGUGAGGGAAGAAGGUUUUCGGAUUGUAAACCUCUGUCCUUGGGGACGAAGAAGUGACGGUACCCAAGGAGGAAGCUCCGGCUAACUACGUGCCAGCAGCCGCGGUAAUACGUAGGGAGCAAGCGUUGUCCGGAAUUACUGGGCGUAAGGGGUGGUAGGCGGCAUAUUAAGUCAGGUGUGAAAUACUCGGGCUCAACCCGGGGGCUGCAUUUGAAACUGAUAUGCUUGAGUGUGAGAGAGGAAAGUGGAAUUCCUAGUGUAGCGGUGGAAUGCGUAGAUAUUAGGAGGAACACCAGUGGCGAAGGCGACUUUCUGGCUCAUAACUGACGCUGAGGCACGAAAGCGUGGGGAGCAAACAGGAUUAGAUACCCCCGUAGUC
rnacentral:rRNA from 1 species